GAAAGCCGUGUGCAAUGAAAAAUGCAACCACGGCUUGGAGAGGGAUUUUUUUUUAUACCUAUUUUAACAAAUAAAUUAUCUACUCCAU
rnacentral:ncRNA from 1 species